rnacentral:rRNA from 1 species
UCGGCCCUAGUGGCGGACGGGUGAGUAACGCGUAGGAAUCUGUCCAUGGGUGGGGGAUAACAGCGGGAAACUGCUGCUAAUACCGCAUGACACCUGAGGGUCAAAGGCGCGAGUCGCCUGUGGAGGAGCCUGCGUCCGAUUAGCUAGUUGGUGGGGUAACGGCCUACCAAGGCUGCGAUCGGUAGCUGGUCUGAGAGGAUGAUCAGCCACAUUGGGACUGAGACACGGCCCAAACUCCUACGGGAGGCAGCAGUGGGGAAUAUUGGACAAUGGGCGCAAGCCUGAUCCAGCAAUGCCGCGUGGAUGAAGAAGGUCUUCGGAUUGUAAAGUCCUUUCGGCGGGGACGAUGAUGACGGUACCCGCAGAAGAAGCCCCGGCUAACUUCGUGCCAGCCGCCGCCGUAACAC